CAGUGUCCUGCAACAGUCAGAGAGGCAGGGCAGGGCACUGCUUAGGAGGCCGCAUUGAAAGGGCUGAUGGGCUUUGGUUGAAAAGAAGCACAUGGCAUUGCUCCAUCGUGGGUGUGUGUGUGUGUGUGUGUGUGUGUGUGUGUGUGUGACAUCAGAGGAGAGUGACAAAGGAGCCACUCAUAGGGCAUGACAGACAAAGGGAAGGGACAAUCUGGUUGUGAGGUUCUCGGGCCAGACGUAUACAGAACUGCCACCAUCCCUGGCCCCAGGGACACAAGUGCCCUGGACCAACACAGAGGGAUCAGUCAUCACACACAGCCCGAUAGGGAGGGGUCUAGGCAGCCAAUAGGCAAUCCCACAACCCUGGUGUUUCCCUGACUCCAGACGGAGGUCUCCCUUCCCAUAGGCCAAUCCUAGCUAGAAACCAGAGGACAGCUCAUUCAGGACAGCCUUCUGGGUAAUAGGGUCUGGGGGACUGAGUGGAUGGAGAGAGGAGGGAGGGGAGAGAGAGAGAGAGAGAGAGAGAGCUCACCCAGUGGGUAAGAGCAGUUGUGCAAGCAGGAUGAAUUGAGUUCGGAACCCACUUGAAACACCCAGUGUGGCCAGACAGCCCAGCUGGAAAACCCUCGGGGUCAAGGUUCAGUGGGAAAUCCUGUAUCAAGGGACUGAGACACAGGACUUUAAAGGAAGAUUUCAAAUUACUUCCUUCCACAUCCGCAGCAUGGGCACACAGAAGCAGAUAAACCAUAUGCCAAGAAGGAGAGGAAGGAACAGCCAUAAACUUUAAGCUUUCUUUAAACUACAGCCUGAGCUGAUUCAUCAUCACAAAUGAAAGGCACAUGCCGCCAAGCCUGACACCCUGAGUUAGAUCCCUGGUUCUCAUAUGGUAGAAAGACAAAAAGGACUACGAAAAGUUGUCCCCUGAGCUCUGCACACACACGAGUACACUCACACAAAUGAGUAAAUGUAAGCCCAUACCUACAAUAGUUAGGGGCUAAACUAUGCCUCCCACUAGUUGAGUCCUAAGCAUCUUAUGCAUUGAGAAGCAAAAACCAUCACUUCCACCCACAUUCCCUUGGCUGGAAUUCUCUCACAUGACUAAGGCAGCCUAGGAUACGAGGCCAAUCUGCAUGCUUGAGAAACAAAGGUAAUGAGCUGAAGCCCCGUGUCACGAGAAGACCAACAGCUUCUUCAAUAACCAAGGAAGGACUGGGGAGCCCCCUCAGUGAAUAAAGCAAGACUUUAAGCUCCUAAAUUCUUUCUGGCAUCUUGUGAGUUCCUGUCACCUGAAGAUACAGAAAGCCACGCGACGAAGCCCAGACUGCUGAUCAGAGAGAAGAGAUCAUCGGAUUGAAAGCAGGCCCCAGCUUUGAGCAGACGCUUGCCUAGGGAAGUGUGGAAAUGCCCAAAGAAUAAUGAAGUACCUGCCACAGAGCUGCUAACUAUCCUCCAAUCACAAUGAAGCCACGAUGUCAAAACAAUUAGAAACAACAGGACUGGAAAUACCAAAUAGAGGCUGGGAGUACUGGCACACACCUUGCUCUCAGCCCUUGUGUGACUGGGGCAGGCAGAGCUGAGGUUGAGCCUGGUCUACUUAGUGACCAUCACCAGCACUGCCGGAACACUGCAGAGCAGCGGUUCUAAUGUGGGGGCGGACCAUUCCACGGGGGUGGCCUAAGAGUAUUGAAAAACACAGAUCUUUAUGAUUCAUAACUUUAGCAAAAUUACAGUUAAUGAAAUAACAGUGAAAAGGAUCUUACGGUUGGUGUCACCACAACAUGAGGAACUGUAUUAAAGGGUCACUGCAUCAGGAAGGUUGAGAACCACUGUUGUAGAGACCUUCAAAAAAGGAAAUACCAAAUAUUAGCAAGGUAUAAGUAAUGUUAACUGAUUUUCUUACACAUUUUAAGUGAAUAUAAAACCAUGUAACUGGGGGG